CCCCUUCCUCCGUCCGGAGCCCACAGACUGUCCGGGUGCAGCAGUAACAUACCUCUGUGCCCUACACUCUGGCCCACACAUCUUAAAGGUCAGUCCCCUUCCUCCGUCCGGAGCCCACAGACUGUCCAGGUGCAGCAGUAACAUACCUCUGUGCCCUACACUCUGGCCCACACAUCCUAAAGGUCAGUCCCCUUCCUCCGUCCGGAGCCCACAGACUGUCCAGGUGCAGCAGUAACAUACCUCUGUGCCCUACACUCUGGCCCACACAUCCUAAAGGUCAGUCCCCUUCCUCCGUCCGGAGCCCACAGACUGUCCAGGUGCAGCAGUAACAUACCUCUGUGCCCUACACUCUGGCCCACACAUCCUAAAGGUCAGUCCCCUUCCUCCGUCCGGAGCC